AGUGAUACAGUGUCACGGCUGGAUGAAGGACUGGACCAAGGUGCAGCAUGCAACCGACUGGCGCCUAGCAAUCAUGACCGGAUACAGCGUCUGAGGUUUGAUUUCCAGCAGGCCAGAGGAGAUGAGAAUCCUGACAACCGAUGACGCACAUAUAGCUUCGAACAGCCCUGGGCUAACUCAGGGAUGUACACCCCAACCGGACGCCACUCUGUGUCUGUGGAGUUAUAGGUGCAGAGGCAGAGACAGAGACAAGAUGAGAUAAAAGACUCAUUCACACAGGCCCAAAGGCAGUACAGCUCCCUACCAUGUCAAAUCCUGCCCUGCACUGGUCAAGCCUCUGAACACCUCAGCUCAUGCCUCAUACCCUCAUUCAAUCACUGCUGUGAUUUCUUCCCAACACUAUCCUGCUUUUUCCCGUCUCUCUUUUCUUGCCCUCCUGGUUUUGAUCCUUGCCUGUCCGGACUCUGAGCCCGCCUGCCUGACCACUCUGCCUGUCCCUGACCCUGCCUGUCGAUCUGUACCUCUGCCCCCUCUGGAUUACAGACCUCUGCCUACCCUGAGCCUGCCUGCAGUCCUGUACCUUUGCUCCCAUACUUGGAUUUUCGACCCCUGACUGCCUUGACCUGUCUUUGACUGCCCCUGUUCUUACAAUAAACAUUAUUACUUCGACAGUCUGCAUCUGGGUCUUACCUUGGUUCUGAUAGUCUUUAACCUCAGAGAAAA